GUUGAGGUCUAUCCCUAUGGGGCUUUUUCUAUAAACCUAUAUCAUUGGAAGCACUUCAUAGAGUAACUAUGUGGUUUCCUUUACUCAUAGAACUAUGUGUUAGAUCCGUGGGAAAGAACUACAAGACAGAG
ensembl:snoRNA